CAAUAGCGUAUAUUAAAGUUGUUGCGGUUAAAAAGCUCGUAGUUGGAUUUCUGCCGAGGACGUCCGGUCCGCCCUCUGGGUGAGUACAUGGCACGGCCUGGGCAUCUUCUUGGGGAACGUAUCUGCACUUGACUGUGUGGUGCGGUAUCCAGGACUUUUACUUUGAGGAAAUUAGAGUGUUUCAAGCAGGCACACGCCUUGAAUACAUUAGCAUGGAAUAAUAAGAUAGGACCUCGGUUCUAUUUUGUUGGUUUCUAGAGCUGAGGUAAUGAUUAAUAGGGAUAGUUGGGGGCAUUCGUAUUUAACUGUCAGAGGUGAAAUUCUCGGAUUUGUUAAAGACUAACUUAUGCGAAAGCAUUUGCCAAGGAUGUUUUCAUUA
rnacentral:rRNA from 1 species